UCGUUUUUGCAUUGGUUAAUUCAGCAUUGAGAAUAGUUUGUCUUAAGGACAGGCCAAAUAACUAAAUGGACGUACCUUUUAAAUUGUUUCAAGUGCAAACAUGUCAAUACAUACCGAUGGCAUGCUUGUAUGUCUAAUAUGGAUCUUUUUAUCAUUGGUAGACACAAAACAGUUUUAUAAUAAAGACAGUCCUUGUAACAUUGUGCAAUACCGCGAGGAAGUCCGAAUUCCAAAAGUUCCAGAGUUCCUAUCAAACCGAACACACACAUAUUUGUGCAGAGGACGUGACAAUGCAGGUACGAUCUCAAUAAAAAUGUAAAAGGAAAG